rnacentral:rRNA from 1 species
GUUAGUUGCCAUCAUUCAGUUGGGCACUCUAGCGAGACUGCCGGUAAUAAACCGGAGGAAGGUGGGGAUGACGUCAAAUCAUCAUGCCCCUUAUGACCUGGGCUACACACGUGCUACAAUGGUUGGUACAACGAGUUGCGAGUCGGUGACGGCGAGCUAAUCUCUUAAAAGCCAAUCUCAGUUCGGAUUGCAGGCUGCAACUCGCCUGCAUGAAGCCGGAAUCGCUAGUAAUCGCGGAUCAGCAUGCCGCGGUGAAUACCGUUCCCGGGCCUU